ensembl:lncRNA novel transcript
AUGCGGGCGGGACCCUCGUACGUGGAAGGUCAUGAGGGCGGGACCCUCGUACGUGGAAGGUCAUGAGGGCGGAACCCUGGUACAUGAAAUUCGUUCUCUUAUUUAAGAGACAAAGAACGCCCUUGUUUUUUCCACCACGUGAUGGCGCAGACAGAAGACAACCAGCAUCUAUGAACCAGGAAGCCCCCACCAGGCACUGAAUCUGCCCCUGCGUGGAUCUUAGACUUGCAGACUCCAGAACUAACCUUACAAUGUCUCUUCUCCAUUAAGAAAACCUACUUCAACAUCUCCAUUGGUUCUCAACAUAGAGAUUCUCUUAAUUUAAAGGAUCCAACGCAAUGACCAAUCUCCAAUUGUCAAAUAUUGAGUGUCCAAAUUUUGGUCUGGAGCCAGAGACAAUAUAGGAUGAAGUUUGAUUUGUUCCAAAACCCACAGAAAUCUCUAAAAUGGAAGAAUUUUCUUAGAACCAAAAGGCAUGGAAUUGAUGACAUGAAACUGAAGCAUUCUUGUCAAGAUGAAAUCAAGAGAGACAUGACUUUUGGCAGCACCGUCCUGUGGGACAUGUGGCAAACAAAUGACAUGAGCUAAUGGGACAAGAAGGCAACUUCAGCUAGAGAGAUGGAAAAAGGUCAGUUGUCCUCCAAAUGACCUCUGUUCAUGACCACCUCACUCAACAUCCAGACACCAAAUCUUUAGGAGAGUGACUGAGCACACUACGUGCCGAAGAGCAGGAGGCUGGAGGAGGCUGGACAUCACUGUCUUUUAUUAUCACAGACAGAACAGUAACACUCUGCAGAGCUACGGAAACUUGGUAGAAAAAAUAAUGGAUGAGUCACAUGGUGGGAAUGUUCAGAAAUGUGGAGAAGGCUUUGGCUGCCCCUGCAAGGAAUUAAAGCUGUACUUAAGA